rnacentral:rRNA from 1 species
AUUGAACGCUGGCGGCAGGCCUAACACAUGCAAGUCGAGCGGAUGAAGGGAGCUUGCUCCUGGAUUCAGCGGCGGACGGGUGAGUAAUGCCUAGGAAUCUGCCUGGCAGUGGGGGAUAACGUCCGGAAACGGGCGCUAAUACCGCAUACGUCCUGAGGGAGAAAGUGGGGGAUCUUCGGACCUCACGCUAUCAGAUGAGCCUAGGUCGGAUUAGCUAGUUGGUGGGGUAAAGGCCUACCAAGGCGACGAUCCGUAACUGGUCUGAGAGGAUGAUCAGUCACACUGGAACUGAGACACGGUCCAGACUCCUACGGGAGGCAGCAGUGGGGAAUAUUGGACAAUGGGCGAAAGCCUGAUCCAGCCAUGCCGCGUGUGUGAAGAAGGUCUUCGGAUUGUAAAGCACUGUAAGUUGGGAGGAAGGGCAGUAAGUGAAUACCUUGCUGUUUUGACGUUACCAACAGAAUAAGCACCGGCUAACUUCGUG